rnacentral:rRNA from 1 species
UGCGUAGGUGGCGUCGUAAGUCGGGUGUGAAAUUUCGGAGCUUAACUCCGAAACUGCAUUCGAUACUGCGGUGCUUGAGGACUGGAGAGGAGACUGGAAUUUACGGUGUAGCAGUGAAAUGCGUAGAGAUCGUAAGGAAGACCAGUGGCGAAGGCGGGUCUCUGGACAGUUCCUGACACUGAGGCACGAAGGCCAGGGGAGCAAACCGG